CUUCAAGAGAAAUGCCACCACCAUAUAGCAAGAUUAGAGAUGUAGCAAGCGUCGAUAGCCAAUCGCACAGCGAUGAAGAUCCUCGUAGAUGUAUUCUAUCAUAACAAAAAGGAGCAAUUUUCAAGAAAAAAAUGUAUCCAUAGAUUUAUUAUUUUUUUCUUACAAUUAUAACUUAGUAAUAUUAUCUUUGUAGAUUACUAUUGUAAGCAUAUUAAAUCUGAAAUAACAAUAGACUUUUAUUACAAACAAUGUAUAAUAUAGGGGUUAGUCAUUUAUUCAAUUGCUAAAUUGUUUGAAGGUAUACUAACAAAAAAGAACAAUUACUUUUUUAAAUAUAGCUCUAAAAAAAGAAAUACAUUUUUUUUUAAAUAAGUCGUUACCUUUCUGGAUGUUCGCUAUUUUUUUUUGUCUAUUCUCUAUUUAUUUUCUAUAUGUUUUUUUUCAGAGAUUUAUUGUUUGCUUGCUUGAACUAUAAUUACUUUAAUAAGCGUGAUAUUCGAUUCUUGCUGUACAUUCCGUUAUUUCGAUCAGUUUUAUAUCGUAUACAUUACGAAAAAUUUACUCAUUGUAUACCUAAAAUGUUUUUCUUUUAUGGUUCACAGAAACGUGUAGUUAAAAAUUUCUACAUGUUUCCAUCAUUUAGAGGUCUUUUGGACAUUUUGUGUGUUGACAAAUUCUAUCUUUUUUUUUGCGUCAUUUUGAUGUAAUUUACUUUUUCGAUUGAAAAGGCUUCUUAAUAAUCAGUAAAGUAAGUGUGCAUCCUUGAAUAAUUCAAGAUUUUAUAUAUACGGUAUAGUUUUUACUUGCAUAAAUUUUAUUUCUAAUAAUGAUUGAACCAUAAUAUACACUCAUCAACUACAUCUAGGAAGGGGGAAGGAGAUAACAACCCUACUCUGAUGCCUGACAUCUAAUGUACAUUAGGUCACACGUAACAGAUCAUUGAUGAAGCGUAGUUUUUAUUUGUUUGAAAUAUCUCGAUUAAUUCCAACUAAGACCCACCAAAAAAAAGUAUACAAACCUCUAUCCCUUAUCCGUAAUUUUGAUGGU